CCUGCCCCCUAGAAGCGUCGCAGAUGUGACUGCUGUGUUAUAUGUGUGUCAGUAAGUGACAGAGAGGAGAGAGGCUGUGUCUAUGCUCAGUGUUCUGAAGUAUGGACAUCUGAAUAAUUAGUAGCUUAACAUU